rnacentral:sRNA from 1 species
AAAUUUAUGAUACAAUAUAAAUUGUAGAAAAGUUAAGACGGUGGCGACUAAUAGAAACGGAGGUGGUGCGUAUGAAAGUACUCACAAAAUCUGUUGAAAGGAGUAGCCUGUUUGUCCGCAUAUGAGACAAUUCAAGUGAUAUUAGGCUUUGGUAUGUUUACCAUUGCUUUGAUUAGCUUAGU